rnacentral:rRNA from 1 species
GAGAGGAGAGGCGCAGGGUCGAGGAGCUGGACGCGACGUUUUGCUGGUUGGAGUGCUUCUGAACCCCGCCCAUGCCUCGCUUCUUUGGAAGAGAGGAAGGGAUUUAAUUUCAAUUCAUCGGCCUCAGAUUGGUAGGACUACCCGCUGAACUUAAGCAUAUCAAUAAGCGGAGGAAAAGAAACUAACAAGGAUUCCCCUAGUAACGGCGAGUGAAGAGGGAAGAGCCCAAGAUUGAAAGCUGGCGUCUUCGGCGUCCGCAUUGUAAUCUCAAGAAGUGUUUUCCGCUUCGGACCAAGCCUAAGUCCCUUGGAAAAGGGCAUCAUAGAGGGUGAUAAUCCCGUACAUGGCUUGGAGCGCCCGAAGCUUUGUGAUACGCUUUCUAAGAGUCGAGUUGUUUGGGAAUGCAGCUCAAAAUGGGUGGUAAAUGCCAUCUAAGGCUAAAUAUUGGGGAGAGACCGAUAGCGAACAAGUACAGUGAUGGAAAGAUGAAAAGAACUUUGAAAAGAGAGUUAAACAGUACGUGAAAUUGCCAAAAGGGAAGGGUAGGAGGUCAGAGAUGCGGCCUGGGAUUCAGCCUUGCUUUUGCUUGGUGUUUUUCCCAGAUUGCAGGCCAACGUCGGUUUUGGGCACUGGAGAAGGGUAGGAGGAACGUGGCACCUCUCGGGGUGUGUUAUAGCCUCCUACUGGAUACAGCGACCGAGACCGAGGACAGCAGCGUACUCGCAAGAGCGGGCCUUCGGGC